rnacentral:rRNA from 1 species
GAUGAACGCUAGCGGGAGGCCUAACACAUGCAAGCCGAGCGGUAUUUGUUCUUCGGAACAGAGAUAGCGGCGCACGGGUGCGGAACACGUGUGCAACCUGCCUUUAUCUGUGGGAUAGCCUUUCGAAAGGAAGAUUAAUACCCCUUAAUAUAUUUAGUGGCAUCAUUUGAUAUUGAAAACUCCGGUGGGUAUAGAUGGGCACGCGCAAGAUUAGCUAGUUGGUGAGGUAACGUCUCACCAAGUCAACGAACUUUAGGGGGCCUGAGAAGGUGAUCCGCCACAAUUGUACUGAGGUCCGGACCAGAAUCGUACGGGAGGGAGGAGUAAGUAAUAUUAGGCGAUGAGUUAGCGCCUGAUCCAGCCAUCCCGCGUGAAGGACGACGGCCCUAGGGGUUGUAAACUUCUUUUGUAGAGGGAUAAACCUACUCUCGUGAGAGUAGCUGAAGGUACUAUACGAAUAAGCACCGGCUAACUCCGUG